rnacentral:lncRNA from 1 species
GUUGUUGUUCCCUCCCUGAUGCUUCUUUUGCUGGUUACUUCUUCUUCUCUCUUCUCCGUAACUGUGGUAGCGGUGGAGAAGCUUCCGCUGAUGCUGCAUGGUUCUUCUGAGAGCUGAGACACUACCUCUGAGACUUCACCUUCUUUUUUGUUGAUGAUAAUGGGGUUGAAAAUGGGAUGUGGGUUCUUUGAUUCGAUUUUGUCAUCAGGGUUUUGAAGAGGAGGCAGAAGGGUGUCCGAUUCUGGCUUCAAAAUUGGAACUUGAUUUUGUUUGGCAAUGGGUGUUUCUGAUAGGACCUCUUUUACAGACUCUUCCACUAACACUGGUGGUGGUUGCCGCUGUGGUAUUUGUUGGUUAAGGUUUGAGUUGGGGAGAGAGGGU